CCGACGGUGGAGUAACACGUAUGCAAUCCACCUGUAACAGGGGGAGUAACCCGGCGAAAUACCGGACUAAUACCCACUAAUAUGGGCGCUCCGCAUGGAGAGUUCAUUAAAGAGAGCAAUUUUGGUUACAGACGAGCAUGCGCUCCAUUAGCCAGUUGGCGGGGUAACGGCCCACCAAGGCGACGAUGGAUAGGGGUUCUGAGAGGAAGGUCCCCCACAUUGGAACUGAGACACGGUCCAA
rnacentral:rRNA from 1 species